rnacentral:rRNA from 1 species
CGGCGUGCCUAACACAUGCAAGUCGAGCGCGAACGAUUCCUUCGGGGAUCUAGUAGAGCGGCGAACGGGUGGGUAACGCGUGGGUAAUCUGCCCUCUGGUGGGGAAUAACCUCGGGAAACCGUGGCUAAUGCCGCAUGAGCUCCCGGGUUCUUCGGAAAGCCGGUAGGAAAGCAUGCCUCUGCUUCAAGCAUGCGCCAGGGGAGGAGCCCGCGUCCCAU